rnacentral:snRNA from 1 species
UAUGAGUGGUCUGGCUACAACAUCUGUCAUCCCAUGAUUGCCAGGGUUGGUUGGACUGACCUUCCUACCUCACCACUCCAUGUGCGUCCCUCCUGAAGCUGUGUGCUCGAUCCAAGAGGACAACCUUCCCAGACUGAGGAGAACUGUUCCCUGGUCAAGGUUAUACAAGUGGCUGUGCUUCCCUGGUAGAACCUCCAAACAAGCUCUUGUGAUCCAUUUGUAGGACAUUGGAUGGUCAAACUUCCAAAACUCCAGAUUAUAUCCAAAUAAGGUGUUACAUGUGGCACUCUGCCUUUCUUU